rnacentral:rRNA from 1 species
UACGGAGGGUGCAAGCGUUAAUCGGAAUUACUGUGCGUAAAGCGCACGUAGGCGGCUUGGUAAGUUAGAGGUGAAAGCCUGGAGCUCAACUCCAGAAUUGCCUUUAAGACUGCCGAGCUAGCAGGUGAGAGAGGUGAGUGGAAUUCCGAGUGUAGAGGUGAAAUUCGUAGAUAUUCGGAAGAACACCAGUGGCGAAGGCGGCUCACUGGCUCAUACUGGACGCUGAGGUGCGAAAGCGUGGGGAGCAAACAGG